rnacentral:lncRNA from 1 species
CUCUAGAAUACAAAAGCAGCUAGAGACACACACUUGACUCACAGCAAUCGAUGAGAAGCAGGGAUCGCCAUUUACAUAAGAGGAGACUGAGGCAUAGAGCAGAUAAGAAAAUGAAUGUAUCUGAAGCCACAAAGCUUUGAAGUGGUGAAUUGAGGACUUAGAGCUAGGCCUGUCUGACUCCAAAACUCAUGCUUUUCCCAGCCCUGCCCCGAAUCCCUGCCAAAAGCGACCUCCUCCAACUGCAGCCUCAGCACCGACACUCUGAUGCUCACUGGUGUGCCUCCUGCCCGCCUCUGCACCACACAAGGAGCUCUUUGAGGACAAGGACUAUGUUGAACUCAUCUUUGUAUUUCCAGCCAUCAGCACAGUGCCAGGGCCAGGGACGGCAUCAACAAACAUUCUGCUGAAUGAUUGAAUGGUCAAAGAAUAACUUUUUCUUAAGGACAAAAUCGUGACUCUGAUACCAAUAACCUAUGUCAAAAAUUGUAUUUAGUCCAUUAAUUCAUGGGGGAACCAGUAAGAUAUUACAAUUGGUUAAAAGAAAAUCUCAAAGAACCUGAAAUAUAGCUCUCAUGGUCUGCUCCAACUGCCAUAAGAAAACACCAUAGGCUGGUGGCUUCAACAAGGGAAAUCUAUUUCUCACAGUUCUGGACACUGGAAGUCCAAGAUCAAGGUUCAGGUGUCUGAUGGGGGCUCACUUCCUGGCUUGUGUGUCCUCUUGCUAUGGCCUCACAUGCCUUUUCCUCGUUGUGUUAUUACCAGUUUUCUGUAACUUCCAGGGCUGUAAAAUAGCUCAAAGACCAUGAAGCCUGAAAAAAACCCAGAAGAGUAUGCUAGACAAGACACCCAAUCAUCUUUUUGGUCCAUUUCAAAGUCUUUCACAAUUUUUCCCUAUAGAACGCAUCAAUGAAAACAGCUGUCUGGGAUGCCGCUGGGAGUGUCCACUCCCCCAUCCACCCCCAAUCCCACCUCUCUGGGGUUGCAUUUUGUCAUGCUUCUUUCAUCACUCACUUCCAUCAGACAGUGGGUGGUCCCACAGCUUGGGCCUGAGGCCUUUCAACUGCCAACCAACUCCACCCACAGUGAUACUGACACCCCAGACUCACACUUACAACUGCCUAUGCAGUAUCUCCUUUGUCUAGAGUAAAGAAAGAAGGCCGCAUUACAAUGUCCUAAAUGGAGGGGGCCUGUGACUCGGAACAGCCAUGCAAGGGCACAGAUGGGCUGGGAGGGAGAGCCCUACAGUGCGUGGACUCCCUUGCCACUCACAUUGGCAUUGGCCCAUGAAGAUCUUAGCCCAGGAAAGAGCGUGCCUGACACAGUCUUACAGGAAAGGGCAUCCCCAGGCUGCCCAGACCUAAGGGCUUCUACACCAGCUAGCUGGGCACCAUUGAAAAAUUUAAGACCUCACCAGAAACUGCACCUGACAAGGGGCCGAGAGUGUAGGAGGAAGAUCACGCAUGAGAAGGAGGUUCCCACUGGAAAAUCAAUGGAAAGCAAACCCUGGGAUGUCUAAAUGCCAAGAAGAGUCCAGCUAGCUCAUUGGAAAAUUCAACCUUGACUUCAGAUCCCUUGAAAAUCCAACAUUUGUUCUUAAAAAACAAUUUCUGAUGUCUUUUUCUGUCUUCCUUUUAUGAAGGUCAAGUUCUACCUGCAGAAUGGUGUUUGUGAUGCAAGUCCACAGUGUUUAUCUCUGGAAUAACAGUGGGCACGAACUGGCCAAGACCCCCAUCAGCCGCUGACAGCCUCACAUCUCUAGCCUGCACUAGCAACAGCAUCCAACUAGUUCGCUGGCCUCCAGUUUCACCCCUUAACCCAUCCCACAUGGAUGCCAGAGUCAGCUUUCAAGAUACAUUUAGCCUUAUCAUUUUCCUACGUAAAGUAUUUCAUUGGCUUCUGAUUGGCUGCCUGUAAGAUAAAGGCCCGUGGUGUCCAAGGUGUUCCACAACUGCCCCCUGCUCACCUCCCAGCCUUGUCUUCAUCACUCCCUGAUCCCUUCUUUGGGCUCUAGCCUCACCAGCUGCUGGGAGUUCUCUGCAUGCCCCAGGCCAUUUCUCCCACCUUUACUCACACCCUUCUUCUGACCAGCUCCUGUCCCCUCAGAGAUUGGUUCAGGGGUCUUCCCAGCACACAUGCUCUCUCUCUGCUCCAGCGUGCCUCCGGGAAUCACCACAUCGCUCCUCUAUGUUAACAGGUCUGCUCCUCCUUCCAUGAGACAAUGGGCUCCUUGAGAGCAAGCAUUGUUUCCCAUGCUGUUGACUGCUAUCCCUGCAAAAUGCAUGUCCAUCUAGAACCUGGGAAUGUGACUUUAAUUUGGAAAUAGUGUCUUUGCAGAUAUGAUCAGGGUUAAGAUGAGUUCACACUGGAUUAGAGUGGACCCUCACUCCAACGCAACUGGCAUCCUUUUAAGAGGGAAAUGUGGACUUAGCAGCACACGGGAGAAUGUCAUGUGAAGACAGAGACAGAUUGGAGUGAGGCUCUACAAGCCUAGGCAUGCCAGGGACUGCCAGAAGCCAUCAGAAGCUGGGAGAGAGGUAUGGGACAGAUUCUUUUCUCGAACCUCAGAGGGAGCAUGACUCUGCCGUCACCUUGAUUCUGGGCUUCCAGCCUUCAGAGCUGCGAGAGAAGAAAUGUCUGUUGCUUUAAGCCAUGCCGUUUGUGGUAAUUUGUUACUGCAGCCCUAGGAAAUUCACAGGGUUCUCAUCGGAGCCCCUAGCCUGGUGCUUGGUAAAUGCUUUGAGUGAAUUAAUGGAAGGUCUUACAAUACACUGCCUGCCUCACUCCCUGGCCUCAAAUUGUAGCUGAGGAAGGGAAAGAAGACUUGGGGCAAGAGUACUCCCUCUGACCAAGGGAGACGGGCUCAGUCAACACAUAUUUAUUACACACUUAGCAAGUGCAAACAGCUCUACCCCAUGUAGUGAAUCAGAAAUGGCUCCCAUCCUGACAGAAAUGACCUAACGCCAUGGAUAACAGUAUUAGUCCGUUUUCACACGCUAUAAAGAACUGCCUGAGACUGGGUAAUUUAUAAAGAAAAGAGGCUUAAUUGACUCACAGUUCAGUGUGGCUGGGGAGGCCUCAGGAAACUUACAAUCAUGGUGGAAGGAGAAGGGGAAGCAAGCACCUUCUUCACAAGGCAGCAGGAAGGAGAAUGAACACAGAUGCAACUACCAAACACUUAUAAAACCAUCAGAUCUCGUGAGAACUCAUUGUGAAAACGGCAUAGGGGGAGCCGCCCUCAUGAUCCAAUUACCUCCACCUUGUCUCUCCCUUGACAUAUAAGAGAUUAUGGGGAUUAUAGGGAUUAUAAUUCAAGAUGAUAUCUGGGUGGGGAUACAAAGCCUAACCAUAUCAAUAGAGCAGCCAUUGUCUGUGGAAUGGAUUUGCCUCUCAGGGGCGUCUGGGUGAGGCUCACCUCAGCAUGGGUGACUGGGCAGAGCUGCUGAGGGAGGUGAAGAUGUUGAGUUUGCAGAAGAGAGGCUUUUAAGGGGACAAACUCCAAACAUGGAACAGACAGGGGACUGAGAGAGAUGUGCCCCCUGUGGCUCCAAGACCAAUGUUUAGAAUUCACAGGAAAACAGAUUUAGGCUCAAUCUGAGGACGAGUUUUCUAAUAGGAGGGAAAGGAAACCAACACUGCUGAGUGCCUGCCCAAUGCCAAAUAACAGCCCCACGAGGCAGGUGUUACUACCUAGGCCCAUUCUGCAGAUUGAAAAACUAAAGAGACCUGCCCUAGAUUCUAUGGCUGAGGGUGGAGCCAGGAUUGAAGCCCAGGGCCGCCUGCCUGCAGGUAAACACACCACCCCCAUUCCCCAAAGGCCAUGUUGAGUAUCCCCAGCUGUCCGUGGUGGAAUCCAGAGACAGGACAGGCUAGAUGGGGGUGAUGCAGAAAUGCUCCAACUUCCGGGGCAGGACGGUGGGCUAAAUAACCUUUAAAAUCUCCUCUAAGUUCGAGGGAUUCACUGCUCACCUUGGAUCACAGGGACAGUGUUACAAUCGCUUUCCACCACCUCACUGUCAGCAUCACAGGGCCAGAAUCCACACGUGCCCUCAGCAGCUGGCCCUGAACGUAGACCAGCUCUCAGGCAUGGAGCUUGCCUGCUGCAUCAUCUUUUUAUUUUUUAAUUUAAUAUUUAUUUAAUUUUUUUUAACCUUUUUGGGAGAGUGUCUCACUAUGUUGCCCAGGCUGGUCUCAAACUCCUGGGAUCAAGCCAUCCUCCCACCUCGGCCUCCCAAAGUGCUGGGAUUCCAGGCCUGCGCCACCAUGGCCGGCCUGCACCAUCCUUUUAGCCCACAGAGAAGAACCUUAAGUGGAGAGUGAGUGGAUUUUAGCCAGGCAAGAAGGGACAAUAAUGUUCUUGGAAUGGCAUCUACAAAAGGCCAGUUGUGAGAGAAAGCAUUUUCUGGACAGAAAAGUGAAAAAGCGUUAUCAGUAAAAGGAAGGGAGUAGCAGGAGAUAAAGCCAGCAGUAAAGGAAAUCAGGUUAGAUCUGGAAGAAACUUGCAGGCCAGCUGAAGGGACUGAAAUGCAUCCUCUAUACAAAAGGAAGCCAUUGAUAACAUUCUUGUAUACAAAAUAUAUAAAGAAGUCUAAUAACUCAGCAGUUAAAAGACAAAUCACUGGCCAGGGGCAGUGGCUCACACCUGUAAUCCCAGCGCUUUAGGAGGCCCAUGCAGGUGGAUUGCUUGAGGCCAGGAGUUCGAAACCAGCCUGACCAACAUGAUGUAACCCUGUCUCUACUAAAAAUACAAAAAUCAGCCAGGCAUGAUGCACACCUGUAAUCCCAGCUACUUGGGAGGCUGAGGCAGGAGAAUCACUUGAACCUGGGAGGUGGAGGUUGCAGUGAGCUGAGAUUGCACCAUACCCAGCCAAGGGGCUCCCCCUGCCUCCCCAGAAGGGAAGCUGAAGGGUAGCUUGUCCUCAAUGGUCUUGGGCAUUGGUUUCUGUUCGUGGUGCAUCUGCCUCUGCAGUGGACUACCUGUGGGUGGACUAAUCUGUAGUCUGUUCUCCAGACAUGGCCACCCCGUAAAGUUGUGCAGACUGUACUCUGUACAGAGGGGGCUGCUGAGAUGGUGAAAGAAACUGAAAUCCAGCCUGUGCUCUUGUCAAAAAGCAAAGGCAUCUUAUAGAGGCAGCAGCCCUUACCACUCCCCCAGCUCCUCUGACACAGGUCCCACCUCCUAGGCCAAGACUGGGGCAAGGAAACCAAGGCACUCACCGCAGGCACAGAAUGUAAGGUAUAGCCCCAGAACUCAGCAAUUGGGCUGGGUGUGGUGGCUCACACCUGUAAUCACAGCACUUUGGGAGGUUGAGCCAGUGAGACUGCUUGAGCCCAGACGUUCAAGACCAGCCUGGGCAACAUAGCAAGACUCCAUCUCUACAAAAAUUUUAAAAAAUUAGCCACACAUGGUGGCACGUGCCUAUACUCCCAGCUACUUGGGAGGCUGAGGCAAGAGGAUCGUUUGAGCCCAAGAUUUCAAGGCUGCAGUGAGCCAUAAUCACACCACUGCACUCCAGCCCCAGCAACAGAGCAAACCCCUGUCUCUAAAUAAAUAAAUUAAAAAAAUUUUUUUUAAAUGAGAACAAUAUAUCAAAUUUUAGAGGGCGGAUCCAACCCUGCACAUGGAUGAUCCCGUCUCAUUCACCUCACUCUAAUCUUGGCCCUAGUUCCAAUAAAAUUUUAUUCAUAAAACCAGGCAGGCCGGGCACAUUGGCUCAUGCCUGUAAUCCCAGCAUUUUGGGAGGCUGAGUUGGGUGGAUCACAACACAAGGUCAGGAGUUGUUCACAACACAAGUUGAUCACAACACAAGACCAGCCUGGCCAAUAUGGUGAAACCCUGUCUCCACUAAAAAAUACAAAAAGGUGGCAGGCACCUGUAGUCCCAGCUACGGGGGAGGCUGAGGCAGGAGAAUCAUUUGAACCCAGGAUGCAGAGGUUGCGGCGAGCUGAGAUCGCACCACUGCACUCCAGCUUGGGCGACAGUGCAAGACUCCAUCUCAAAAACAAAAACAAAAACAAAACAAAACAAAACCAGAAAAAAAAAAAACAGGCAACAGCUGGGCACUGUGGCACACGCCUGUAGUCUCAGCUACUCAGGAGGCUGAGGCAGGAGGAUUGUUUGAGCCCUGGAAUUCGAGACCAGCCUAGGCAACACUGAGACCUUGUCUCAAAAAAUAAAUAAGUAAAUAAAUAAAUAAAUAAAAGAAUUAAAAAUAAAACUAGGCAGAAAUCCCAUGAGCCAUACUUUGCCAAUUUUAAGUAUUGCAUUUAAAUAUUAUUUAUCUUGAUUGCUGGGCUGCUCCCUUCCUGCUAGCCCUGACUUGUCCCCCUAGUCCUCAUCUCUCAGAUUGGAGGCCACUCCAGAUUUCCUUGGUACCAGCCACAGGCCAGGAACCUGAAGGGAGUUAUGGGGAAGGAUCAGCUGCAAGGAUCUCAGGGCAUCGCACUGCCUAAAGGCACCUUCUGCUCCGCUUGUCUGUUCCCUGCUGGUGCAGGAUAUUAUGAGAGUUCCAGAAGGAAGCAGGGCAUAAACUGCCUGGGGCUGAGCAGACGCACCUGUGGUCUCUAUCACCCCCUGGAGUUCUGACCUCUAAGUGAAAAGAAAAGGAGGCAGAGGUGGAGACCAGACCCAACAGCUCCUUCCAAACAAUGGUUCUGCCUGUCUCCUUGGGCUCCCCAAUUUCCCAGGAAGCCUUUCCUGCGUGGGGGGGCAACUACCCUCAGGUCUCUGCUCUGUGGUUAACUAUUUUCCUCCAUUCAUCCAUCAUUUAGUCACUUAUUUAAUAAUCAUUGGUCCCUACUACGUGCCGAGCAUUUGCUAGAUUCUAAAGAUACGGAGAAAACCCCACUACUGUCAGAGCAAACAAUAAGACCAAUGUACACAAAUAAUUACAGUAAUGUUCUGUAUAUAAAGUGCAAAAAGAAAACCUGUGUGUGCACAGGUUUAGCUGGGGCAUGGAAAAGGAUAUGAUUACUUGUCUCUGGAAGCCUCAGAACAAGGGGGUCUGAUUUCUCCAAAGAGACAAGGUGUCAAUGGAUCUUCCCAGCAGAGAGAAGCGCACGCACAAGAACCUGGAUGGAGAAGGAGCAAUGGAAACAGAAGUGAGAGAACUGAUUGAAAGAGAGGCAUUGUUAUAGCUGGGUAGCAGGCAAUCGACAUGAGCUCAUCUGAGCGUAGGAAUAAUCGUGCUACCAUUUCUAUGAGGUUGUUGAGAAUAUUAAAUGAGUUAUCUAACCCUUAGCACAGUACGUAGCACAAGGUAAUCACAAUGUUAACCACUACUACUCAUUAAAGCAUUGCAUGAGAAUAAAAGUUUAGUCACAUAGAUGGAUUUUUGCACGUGGAGAAAGGUUGAUUUAAUCAACACUUAAACACCUACUACAUCUGCAGACACUCUAUGGUUAACUUUCAGAAAUUCAAUGAUCAGUCCUGAGUUUAAACUAAGCCUUCUUGGAAUUUAAAGCUAAACUGUUUCUCUCUUAAGCUCUAGCUCUUGCAAAUCAAAAUCGCUUUGCCCAUAGACUAUUGUAUCUGCAUCUGCCUCGAGUUAAAAAAAAAAUCCAUUCAGCAACUCAAUUGACUUCUUUGUUCUAGGCUGUAGCCGCCCUCCCCAGAGGCAUCGAUGUCAUUGACUCAGUGGGUGCAGGGCUACCAGGCAAUAGGAACACGGAGGUUUACUAUUUCAAAAACAUUAUCCAGCCUCUUAUGAAACUGGCAAGAUUUAGGGAUGAAGCUUAGGUAAUGGGGAUGAGGGAAGGCUUAGAUCCAAGAGGUUUAAUUUACAGAAGGGUUUGUUUUUGGGGGGUCUUUCUUAUUCCUCCCAGGAGGGAAUAAAU